GUAGGUACUCCAUUGUCUGACGGAUCUGAGAACGCUGUCUGGGCUUCGUGCCAAGGGCUGGUAUUCACACAGCAACGACGGCCUCACAGAAGAGCUGUGGGAAGCAGGAGGGCGAGCCUCUCUUAGGGUGCCACUACUAUGGAGACACAGCUGGGCUGAACAAGAUUUGCUUCAAACGACAACAAGAGAGACAGAAAGUAUCUGAUUCAACCGCUGCCCAAGCAGGCAGGCACCAGAAGAGCUAGCAGCCAAUCCGGCCAUGCUCGAAGCCAGUCCUGCAGCUCAGCCAAUCAGUGACAUCAUUGGACAUCUCUUCAGAUUGCUCAUCAUGAUAUGAAGAUGAAACUUAAUAGCAAUAACCAAUGGAUGCUUUUCUUGGAUUCAGUCCAACACUCUGGAGACCAGAUCUUCAGGAAUGUAACUGGGAUAAUUGUCCAAAUCGAAUCCCAUGCCCUGUCAUGGGAAUCUUGAGGAACCCAUUAAUGUAAAGCUGCGGCCAGAGUUCCAUGAGGAGGCAGAAUGUUCUAGAUGAUCCCUGUCUCUUCUCCAUUGAGGAAGUCGUUUCUUGCCUCUCUGUAAGCUCAGUUAAUCAUACCAGAAUAGGAGUCCUGUCUUAACUGAGCAAUAUACACUAUGGAGAGAUCCUUCAAAACCCGUCGGGACGAAUAACAGAUGAAUUCAUAAAACUGUUCAUCUCUGUUAUCCUGAAUGGUCACUCAGACAACAUUUUACUCAACUAUAAAGGGGAACACUUAAAGUGCAUAUGAGAAGAGAAGAGAAUGACCACAGGAGAAAAUCAUCUCAGGUAAAACGAAAAGGCACAAAUGUAGAGAGUAAUUAAUCUUAGAAUAUUAAAGAGAAAAUGAUUAUGUCUGUGUUUGGUAUAAGAAAUGGUCCUUCCCUUUAUGAAGCUACGUAUUUGGGAUUUUCACUGAUGGUUUUCCUUCAAGAGUUUACAGUAUUACUUGCCUUUGUCAACCUUUUGUUUGGUUUUGUGAUCAAUGCCCAGUGUCCAUCAUUCUGAGGACAUAUGUGUAUGUUGAUUUAUACAAUUCAGGUACAAGAUGGUUGAAUAGGAAGCUAUUUAAUGAAAAGGAAAAUAUGUUCUCAGUGGUUAUACAUUAUAAAAGGAAGUAAAAAUCUGAUAGAAAAGUAUAAGCUCAUAGUUUAUUUUUAAUCUUUUCCAUAUAUCUAGUAAGACAAUAAUGUCAAAGUAUAUUUUGUAGUAAUAAAAGCUACAGCCAGUGUUUCCUCUUUCUUUUUUUUAAACAUAAAAUGUAUAAAUAUAUAAGGAAAUACUUUUACUACAAUUGGAUGCAUGAUUGUUGAUUAUUUACUACAGUUUUAAUAAGUAGGAGAAUGAUUUGAAAAUAAAUAAUGGUGAAAAUUUGUGUAGGCCAAAUUAUCUGUAUUAAACUGGAGAAAAUACAUUCUAUUUUUAUUUAUUUCAAAACAUGCCAAAUCAUGAAGUAAUUACUAUGCAGUAUUAUUUUUCACAAUGAAGAUAUAAUUAAGAAAAGCUAAAUCAUUUUAGAUAUGAGUGCAAUGAUUAACGAUUGUACAACUUAUAAUUUUGCUUCAGAUGAGCUUAGAAUCCUAAAAAUGUACAUGUAACUGGCUUCAUGUGUGCUUACUGGCUUGCUUUCUUACAGUGUAGUAGCUGACAGAAUUAAGAAUCAUUUAUUUCAUUUCAACCUGUUGAACAGAGGAAUUAUAUGUAGCUGUGUAUUUUGUUGAAAGGAUAUAGUUCUUGGGAAAUAGAUUUAAAUGUGUUUUGUUGAAAGGGAAUGUAUGCUCCUUGGUGUGAUAUAAGCGACUACAAAUAUUCCAGAAUAGCAGGAAUAACACCGAUCAUGUCAUUGAUUUUAGGGUUUUUUGAUACCAUAUCUUUUCCUCACUGCUGUAAAAGUUUAAUUUCAUCCCCACUGUAGGCACAUGUCUGUACAUCUAGAAUUUGUGGGUUUUGUGUUCUUUACCUAGUCAACAAGACCUCAUUUGUUUAUAAAAAGCUAUAAUGUGACUAAAUCUCAAAAAUCAUUAACUGAGUUUUAUGUGAAUAAAUACAGUCACUCUAGUGCAUAUACAGUUUAAUAACUUCCUUUUUAGUUGUAGACUUAUCAUACUAUAUCUGUGCCUCACAACAGUAUAAUUCAUAUGUACAUAUAUUAGGUUCUCAAUUAGGACAUUUUAACAACAACGUUAAAAUAUUCACAGUUUAAAACAAAAGCAAUCUUUAAAAAAGAAAAAAUCAAGAAGAAAAGAGAGAAGU
ensembl:processed_transcript